GAUGAACGCUAGCUACAGGCUUAACACAUGCAAGUCGAGGGGUAGCAGGGUAGCAAUACCGCUGACGACCGGCGCACGGGUGAGUAACACGUAUCCAACCUUCCCAUAACUCGGGGAUAGCCUUUCGAAAGAAAGAUUAAUACCCGAUAGUACUUUUUCAAGGCAUCUUGAGAAAGUUAAAGAUUUAUUGGUUAUGGAUGGGGAUGCGUUCCAUUAGAUAGUUGGUGAGGUAACGGCUCACCAAGUCUUCGAUGGAUAGGGGUUCUGAGAGGAAGGUCCCCCACAUAGGUACUGAGACACUGACCAAAAUACUACGGGAGGCAGCAGUGAGGAAUAUUGGUCAAUGGGCGAGAGCCUGAACCAGCCAAGUAGCGUGAAGGAUGAAGGUCCUAUGGAUUGUAAACUUCUUUUAUAGUAGAAUAAAGUGAUCCACGUGUGGAUUUUUGUAUGUAUACUAUGAAUAAGGAUCGGCUAACUCCGUGCCAGCAGCCGCCGUAAUAC
rnacentral:rRNA from 1 species